rnacentral:rRNA from 1 species
GACGAACGCUGGCGGCGUGCUUAACACAUGCAAGUCGAACGAUGAACCCGGAGCUUGCUCCGGCGGAUUAGUGGCGAACGGGUGAGUAACACGUGAGUAACCUGCCCUUGACUCUGGGAUAACUGCUAGAAAUGGUAGCUAAUACCGGAUACGACCCUCGGUGGCAUCACCAGGGGGUGGAAAGAAUUUCGGUCAAGGAUGGACUCGCGGCCUAUCAGCUAGUUGGUGGGGUAACGGCGCACCAAGGCGACGACGGGUAGCCGGCCUGAGAGGGUGACCGGCCACACUGGGACUGAGACACGGCCCAGACUCCUACGGGAGGCAGCAGUGGGGAAUAUUGCACAAUGGGCGCAAGCCUGAUGCAGCAACGCCGCGUGAGGGAUGACGGCCUUCGGGUUGUAACCUCUUUUAGUAGGGAAGAAGCGAAAGUGACGGUACCUGCAGAAAAAGCACCGGCUAACUACGUGCCAGCAGCCGCAGUAA